CUAAGAAUUAGUUGUGGCCCUUGUUAAAAAUACUCUUCUUUCUCUGGAGAGUCUAUUCUAGAAGGUUUGGUUUGGAACACAGAGCCCUCUAACUUUUUUUAAGAGCCCCAUGAGAUUCUUAUGAAGAUAAACACUUCACUUCCUUCUACAUCUCUCACUAUGAAGAAACCCCUCCAACAGCACAUCUGAGCUCUGUCAGAAGCAUCAUUUUUGCAACGGAAGAGUGAAUUUAUUAAUGAGUACAGGGGGAAUAACUCCCCAUGGAUAAAAGACUGAUGCUACUAAACGGCUACACAGAAAAUCUACAGAGAAGAUUCUUGAAGAAUGAGCCAGGCUGGAGAAAAGUCCAUGAGAAGAUGGAGAAAAACAUGAAUAGUGCUUGAUGUAGAAGACAUCGCGGGUGACCCAUCCACACCUCCCCAGUCCACUCCAGACAUCACUGCAACUCUGAUGGGCAGACCUAUGCAUUGCUAACAGCAUCCUGCCUCAGGCACCUGCGCCUCUCUCUCCCCAAGGCCUUUCUCUGAAGGUCAGGGCAUUGGUGUACUAGCUACGCUGGAAGUGCUGGCGAGGGGGACAUUUAUGCCC
rnacentral:lncRNA from 1 species